ACUCUAGUUGAUUCAUAUAUUCAUAACCGUUACACUAACUUUUUUUUGUCAACACGAGAACUUUUAUUCUGCUAACAAAACUGAAAUUUAGCAGCGUAAGCACAAUAUGUGUGUGUGUGUGACAUAGAAAAUACACCAUAAUAAAAUACAAAACGUUAGCAAACUAAAAUUUCACAUUCUGAGAAUUACGGGAACAAUAUUUAGAAAACAGCCAUGUAAGUGGUCUCUAUAAAUCUUUGCCAAAAAAAGUCUCUAAAAAUACUAGAGAAUUUAGAAACAUAACAUUUAUGAUUUUGUUGGAACGUCGUAAUUAUAUAUAUACAUAAAGGACUAAAGGAGUUCGCUAAAUAAACAUCUAAUAUAUUAUGAAAAUUUAGGCCAUAAUCUUCAUUUAAGUCGAGGACCUUGAUAAUACCACGGUCUAAAAAACAGUUUUAACAUAAUUGUGAUAGAUUAAUUUUAAUGAUUUGUUUAUUUAUAACUAAACACUAAUAAGUCUACUGGUCUUAUCCCUUUGUUCUUUUUUCUUUUUUGUCGACGACACCCUUUUAGUUAUAUAUAGAGUGGAUCACGUAAAUACCAAAAGGAAAUGUGGAUGAUUCUUUUUUUUUCUGGCCAUGUGGAUGCUAUACAUCAAUAUGUCAAAAUUAUGCAACACCAUGCGGUAUGUAAUCACUAUAAAUGGAUCUAUCAUAUACUUUUUACUAUAUUUCAUCCUUAUACGUAUAUACUGAUUCGAAAAAGAAACAACAAAGUUAUUUUCCUUUCAUUUUUAUUAGGCCUAUCGGUUCCAUAUGUAGAUUUUACGUCUUUUAUGUUUUACUUUGUAUUUCUUUUAUUAAAACUUGUUUCUAUACAUUUCAUUUUCCAAUAUAUCGCAGUUUUCUUUUCUAUUUAUGCAUUUUUGUGUAUUUUUACACUAAAUGCUUACAUUAAUUUGAAAAUUUUAAUGGAUGUAGACAAAUAUAACCAGUAAUAAACGAAGAAAAUUACAAAACAAUGAAUAAUAGAUAUGGUAAAAGAAAAAAAAAUCCGUUCAAAACUUUACUUAAAAUUCUAAAGUCUGUGCUCGGAAAAAAUAUAUAUAUAUAUAAGCUUCAUCUUUUGUGUGCUAAUGUUUCCUUUUUUCAACUUGAUAUUUUAUUUAUGUGUUUCUAAUUUAUAUAAUUUUCCUUUCACGUAUUGUUAGUUUUAUCAAAAACAUCUGGAACGGAAGGUUUGUAUGUGAAAUUUCAUUUUCGUGCUUAGUAUUUGCUUAGUCUGGUGUUUGAGCUAAUUCAUUGCGGAGCGACGCAUAUUAAAUUUAUUUUAGAUAAAAAGUCCCAAACAAACUUUGAUUUUUACCAAAAAAAAAAAAACAUUGAUUUUUCUAACUAAGGUAUCACUAAGAAUAUACUACAUACAAUAAGUGUGUCGUUAGGUAGGUCUCAUGUGGCACGUAUAAUGAAUAGCGAAAACAACGAAACACGUGUUCUCUCAAUAUGCCAAGUGUCAUGUAUUACAGCGGAUGCGUCUAUACACUUGUGGCUUCUUAAUCCAAGGAAUGUUAUAAAUAAGAUAAAGAGUACGUUGUAUAAUUGUGAAGUUGAUUUUAGUAUGACGUUAGUAUCACUUACGAUGUCUUACAUGUCCAAAUUACGUCAAAAAGUGAGAUAAAUUAAAAGCGAUCGUGGAAAAAAACAAAGAUUAAAAGUGUUCUAUACUUUUGUCCAUUUUUUACACAACUUUUUAGCUUCACUGACUGACUUUGUGGGAAUUAUAUAUGUCUUUGUCUUUUGAGAUUAAAUCUAAUCUACAAACAUUUGCAGAGAUGCAACGUUGAUGGUGAUUGGUCAUCUGCCAAUCGCCAUUAGAUUGGAGUUCUUCAUUGCCAGAGCUAGAUGAGGGAUUAGAUAACAAAUGGUCUAAAGAAAACGCAUUGUAUCGAUCGAGACUUGUUUCAACGCUCGAUGAUACAGAGGCACAGUGAGCUAUGAUUCACAAAUGGUCUAAAGAAAACGCAUUAUACCAAAACUCUAAUAUGGUACGCAUGGUUUUUAUAGCCAUAUGUCCGGAAUGUUUGGAGACUUUACACUACAUGCAUAUAUAAGAUAAAAUUUCAGUUAA